GGUCCCGUAGCUCAGUUGGUUAGAGCAUUGGUCUUAUGACUAACAUUGAAGCAAGCCGAAGGUCGCGGGUUCGAGCCCCGCCGGGACCA
rnacentral:tRNA from 1 species